AGAGUUUGAUCCUGGCUCAGGAUGAACGCUAGCGGCAGGCUUAACACAUGCAAGUCGAGGGGCAGCAUAAUGGAUAGCAAUAUCUAUGGUGGCGACCGGCGCACGGGUGCGUAACGCGUAUGCAACCUACCUUUAACAGGGGGAUAACACUGAGAAAUUGGUACUAAUACCCCAUAAUAUCAUAGAAGGCAUCUUUUAUGGUUGAAAAUUCCGAUGGUUAGAGAUGGGCAUGCGUUGUAUUAGCUAGUUGGUGGGGUAACGGCUCACCAAGGCGACGAUACAUAGGGGGACUGAGAGGUUAACCCCCCACACUGGUACUGAGACACGGACCAGACUCCUACGGGAGGCAGCAGUGAGGAAUAUUGGUCAAUGGACGCAAGUCUGAACCAGCCAUGCCGCGUGCAGGAUGACGGCUCUAUGAGUUGUAAACUGCUUUUGUACGAGGGUAAACGCAGAUACGUGUAUCUGUCUGAAAGUAUCGUACGAAUAAGGAUCGGCUAACUCCGUGCCAGCAGCCGCGGUAAUACGGAGGAUUCAAGCGUUAUCCGGAUUUAUUGGGUUUAAAGGGUGCGUAGGCGGUUUGAUAAGUUAGAGGUGAAAUUUCGGGGCUCAACCCUGAACGUGCCUCUAAUACUGUUGAGCUAGAGAGUAGUUGCGGUAGGCGGAAUGUAUGGUGUAGCGGUGAAAUGCUUAGAGAUCAUACAGAACACCGAUUGCGAAGGCAGCUUACCAAACUAUAUCUGACGUUGAGGCACGAAAGCGUGGGGAGCAAACAGGAUUAGAUACCCUGGUAGUCCACGCAGUAAACGAUGAUAACUCGUUGUCGGCGAUACACAGUCGGUGACUAAGCGAAAGCGAUAAGUUAUCCACCUGGGGAGUACGUUCGCAAGAAUGAAACUCAAAGGAAUUGACGGGGGCCCGCACAAGCGGAGGAACAUGUGGUUUAAUUCGAUGAUACGCGAGGAACCUUA
rnacentral:rRNA from 2 species